AACGAACGCUGGCGGCGUGCCUAACACAUGCAAGUCGAACGUGAUUGAGGAGCUUGCUCUUCAUGAAAGUGGCGCACGGGUGAGUAACGCGUAGAUAAUCUACCUGAUGAUCCGGGAUAACACUUCGAAAGGGGUGCUAAUACCUGAUAAGCCCACGGGGUCUAUGGACACUGCGGGAAAAGGAGGGGACCUUUUAGGCCUUCCGUCAUCAGAUGAGUCUGCGUACCAUUAGCUAGUUGGUAGGGUAAAGGCCUACCAAGGCGACGAUAGUUAGCGGGUCUGGGAGGAUGAUCCGCCAAACUGGAACUGAGACACGGUCCAGACUCCUACGGGAGGCAGCAGUGGGGAAUUUUGCGCAAUGGGGGAAACCCUGACGCAGCAACGCCGCGUGAGUGAUGAAGGCCCUUGGGUCGUAAAGCUCUGACAGAGGGAAAGAAAUGCGGGUGGCUAAUAUCCAUUCCGCUUGACGGUACCCUCAAAGGAAGCACCGGCUAACUCCGUGCCAGCCGCCGCUGUAAAAC
rnacentral:rRNA from 1 species